GCAAACUUGGUCAUUUAGAGGAAGUACAAGUCGUAACAAGGUAUCCGUAGGUGAACCUGCGGAUGGAUCAUUAAAGAAAGAUUUAUAUACGUCUGUGAACGGGGUGAGUGUGUGUGGGAUGGAAGGUGGGUGAAUGGUGGGUGGUUGGUGGGGGUGAUAAGGGAGAGUGUUUUCUCUAUCACUACCUGCCACCCAUCUGCCACCACCUGCUGCCACCUCGCUGCAUCCACCCCAAUAUCACGUUGCUUCUAAGGAACUGAGUUUUCUUGCAUAUACAUGGUAAUGAAAACAACUUUUAGCAAUGGAUCUCUUGGCUCUUGCAUCGAUGAAGAACGCAGC
rnacentral:misc_RNA from 1 species